rnacentral:tmRNA from 1 species
GGGGCUGAUCGGUUUCGACGUCGGGACCGGAAGCGACAUCGUGCGACCCGAGUUGCUCAGACUCGUUAAUCGGGGCAACCACACAACUGCCGAAAAGCAGCAGUUCGCUCUCGCCGCCUAAUUCUUAGGUAGCGAUUGUGGACACAUCGCGAGCCGCAAGGCCACGCGGGGCCUGACCACUACAGCCUGGCAACAGAAGUAGUGGUGGACGGUGGGAGAGACCACUGACCGGAGGGAAAGACCCCUGACGAUCGAGGAAAGACUCGACGGUGCGCCCACCCGGGGGCGUGGCAACCGCAAGCCACAGACACGGGAAUGGUCGUAGCACGAGCCGUGACCGCCAGACGGACGGGGGUUCGAUUCCCCCCAGCUCCACGA